rnacentral:rRNA from 1 species
CCUACGGGAGGCAGCAGUGGGGAAUAUUGCACAAUGGGGGGAACCCUGAUGCAGCGACGCCGCGUGAGUGAAGAAGUAUCUCGGUAUGUAAAGCUCUAUUAGCAGGGAAGAAAAUGACGGUACCUGUCUCAGAAGCCCCGGCGAACUACGUGCCAGCAGCCGCGGUAAUACGGCGGGGGCAAGCGUUAUCCGGAUUUACUGGGUGUAAAGGGAGCGUAGUCGGCUGUGCAAGUCUGGAGUGAAAGGCGGGGGCUCAAACCCCGGACUGCUCUGGAAACUGUACGGCUGGAGUGCAGGAGAGGUAAGUGGAAUUCGUGGUGUAGCGGUGAAAUGCGUAGAUAGUAGGAGGAACUCCGGUGGCGAAGGCGGCUUACUGGACUGUAACUGACGUUGAGGCUCGAAAGCGUGGGUAGCAAACAGGAUUAGAUACCCUUGUAGUC